rnacentral:rRNA from 2 species
UACGAAGGGGGCUAGCGUUGUUCGGAAUUACUGGGCGUAAAGCGCACGUAGGCGGACAUUUAAGUCAGGGGUGAAAUCCCAGAGCUCAACUCUGGAACUGCCUUUGAUACUGGGUGUCUUGAGUGUGGAAGAGGUCAGUGGAAUUGCGAGUGUAGAGGUGAAAUUCGUAGAUAUUCGCAGGAACACCAGUGGCGAAGGCGGCUGACUGGUCCACAACUGACGCUGAGGUGCGAAAGCGUGGGGAGCAAACAGG